AUUCAGGUAUUUUAAUAUAAAAUGUUGGUUUGUGGUGCCAAUGAUACGCUUGUUGUUCUGGGUU
rnacentral:tRNA from 1 species